GUGUUUUAAAACAUUUUUAAAUUGACAAAAAUUGAGCAGAUAACGUUAAAAGAUUGUAUUUUAGGCCUACCUUGCACACACAGUGCCCAUUAUUAUUAUCCUAUUCCUAAGUAAGGACAUUUGUUACAACAAAUGAACCAAUAUUCAUAAUUUUCUUCCCUUUGGUACUAGGAAUUGAAAUCAGUUUUUCACACAGGCUAGGCAUAUCUCUAUCACUGAGCCAUUUCCCUAGCCCAACAUUCUUGAUUUUCCCAAUUUUUAACUCAUUCUUUUUCUAUACUAUAAUCCUGUGCAGUCCUCCACAUUCCAUUUGUUUGUCAUAUCUCUUUAGUUUCCUCUUUGCCUUGAUAUUUCUUCAGAUCUUUCUUGUUAGAUGACUCUGAAAAUUUAGGGGAAUACCAUUCUGUAUAUUAUUAGUUGUCUCUGUGUUAAAAUUUGAAGUUUUUCUUCUGAUUAUAGGUGGAUUAUUUGUUUUUGGGAGGAAGGUCACAGAUAUAAAAUGCUAUUCAUCACAUUAGUUCCAGGUAUAUAUUAUCAAAGUGAAUGUUGACUAUUGAUGCUGAACUUGAUCACCUGAGGUGGUGUUUGUCAUGUUUCUCAUUGUGAAGCUACUUUUCCCU
rnacentral:lncRNA from 1 species